rnacentral:rRNA from 1 species
UACGGAGGGUGCAAGCGUUAUCCGGAUUCACUGGGUUUAAAGGGUGCGUAGGCGGAUAUGUAAGUCCGUGGUGAAAUCUCUGGGCUUAACCCGGAAACUGCCAUGGGUACUAUGUGUCUUGAAUGUUGUUGAGGUGAGCGGAAUAUGUCAUGUAGCGGUGAAAUGCUUAGAUAUGACAUAGAACACCAAUUGCGAAGGCAGCUCACUACACAGUCAUUGACACUGAGGCACGAAAGCGUGGGGAUCAAACAGG